rnacentral:rRNA from 1 species
AUUGAACGCUAGCGGGAUGCUUUACACAUGCAAGUCGAACGAGCGGCGGACGGGUGAGUAAUAUAUCGGAAUGUGCCCAGUAGCGGGGGAUAACUACUCGAAAGAGUGGCUAAUACCGCAUACUAUCGGAGCGACCGAUAUCGGAUUAGCUAGUAGGUGGGGUAAAGGCUCACCAAGGCAACGAUCCGUAGCUGGUUUGAGAGGACGACCAGCCACACUGGGACUGAGACACGGCCCAGACUCCUACGGGAGGCAGCAGUGGGGAAUUUUGGACAAUGGGGGAAACCCUGAUGCAGCCAUCCCGCGUGUAUGAGAAGGCCUUAGGGUUGUAAAGUACUUUUGGCAGAGAGGCGUUAUCUGCAGAAUAAGCACCGGCUAACUACGUGCCAGCAGCCGCGGUAAUAC